UUGGCUAAUCCUGGUCGGACAUCAGGAGGUUAGUGCAAUGGCAUAAGCCAGCUUGACUGCGAGCGUGACGGCGCGAGCAGGUGCGAAAGCAGGUCAUAGUGAUCCGGUGGUUCUGAAUGGAAGGGCCAUCGCUCAACGGAUAAAAGGUACUCCGGGGAUAACAGGCUGAUACCGCCCAAGAGUUCAUAUCGACGGCGGUGUUUGGCACCUCGAUGUCGGCUCAUCACAUCCUGGGGCUGAAGUAGGUCCCAAGGGUAUGGCUGUUCGCCAUUUAAAGUGGUACGCGAGCUGGGUUUAGAACGUCGUGAGACAGUUCGGUCCCUA
rnacentral:rRNA from 1 species